AGCAACGCUUGAAAGACGCGCAGAUAGAUGUCAGAUUCUCCCGUAGGGAGGUCUGGCAAGGUGUUAGUUUAGGCGGCGGAGUUGUACGCGGGCCAGUCUGUGUUACAGCUUUGCCGUCAGGGUAGCUCCUUACGAGCUGCCCAAACUGAGGACCAGUUUUCCUCACAGGAGGAGGCUGGUGGGGCCUAGGGUGUUAGGGGUACAACGGUUGGCUCUUUCACAGAACGGGUGUUUUCCGUUCUGCGUUUGAGUCUGCCGCCUUUGGGCGUCUCCCUCUGAGAUGUCGGUUAGGAUUUCUUUUUUUUAUAUGUCCGUGUGUGUAACUGUUGCCUUUUAGCCUGUUGUGUUCCUGAGCAGCAAGAAGAGGCGGCUGUGGUGACCCGCCCGAUGCGGAAGGCUUCUGGGCCCUGUCGGCGGGGGCGCACCUCUCUGGCUGACUGGUUGACCAGGCUUUGACCAGGUGGCCGGGGAGGCGCAUCCUCGCUGGGCGGGGUCUGGGGGCCCUCCGUCUUGGGGAGGUCGCUGCAGCAGGAGGAGGUAACUACUGCUGGUUUUGUAAGGCAUUGUGGUUGAGAGCACCUUGCAGCUGUAACGCGAAUUUCGUUCCGUAAUAAACAAUGUACCGCCAUGCUGCCUGUCCUUCCUCCCUCCCAGCACUGUGUACGUCUGUGUGUGUGUGUGUGUGUUGCUUAAUUCUCCCUCACUGCACUGUGCGUACGUCUGUGUGUGUGUGUUGCUCUGUCUCUCUCUCUCAAUCUCUCUCUCUGUCUCUCUCUGUCUGUCUCUCUAUCUCUCAAUCUCUCUGUGUCUUUCUCUCUCUCUCUAGUUAGUAAAGAACAGGCAACGUUUGCCAUGGAAGCCUCUACAGUAUAAGACUCUACAGUAUACAUAAGACUACAGUGUACAUCCCAACCCUCUACGGCCGUUGCUGCUCCACCCGGGCAUUACCACAUCCACCCGGGUCUACAAGAAACCUCCACGGCCGAGCCUCAACCACAGAACACACCGCUACCGUUGAUGAGGUUCCACGCCCCGGACUACCGCCAUGUUAGCCUCCAUAAUAGUCCUCGGCGCACUUGUUCUGAGACGUCCUGACUGGAGAGCUACACAACACUGGUCAUCCGCUGAGUGGUUGAAUUCCUGGUCUACCGGCCCCUGGAGGAGUGGUCGAUUGCCUGGUCUACUGUGGAUAUGAGUGGUUGAUUCCCUGGUCUACCCCUGGAUGACGCAGCUGUUCCUAUGCAGGGGAAGACUCACACAAGCGAUAAGCACCUGUCAGACCUGGAGACUCCCCCCUGAGCCUGACGGUGGAGCUGUGGGCCCUGCACCAGACCCCCACACCCCCCCACACCACCCACAGCAGGGGCAGGGCGUUGAGACUCCCCCCACAGGCUAAGACAGGGAGGGACUUGAAGAUCCAGGUUUUUGUCAUCUGCACAGGAAUUGACACGUGAUGUCUAAGGUUCCGCCCAUGCAGCUGAAGGGUGCCAAUGCCUACACAUGCGUCGACCACAGGUGUGCGCUGGACAUUGCCUACAAUUCAUGGUGCAAAUGGGAGCGUCAGCGGAGAUCGAGCUGGCGGAAGGUUGGCGGCUGGGUCAAGCUCGCAACGGACAAGGAGUUCUAUGAGAUGUGCUCGGCGGAUGUUGUUGACCUCGGCCACAUCAAUGUUACUAAGGUGGUGGAGGUGGGGAACGGCAUCUACAUUGACGACGGACUCAAGGAGAUCGCUGAGACUACUACUACUACUAUUACUAUUACUAUCCUCUAUACUGAUAUGUGUACUAUUAAAUCCUCUAUACUGCUACUAUGUGUACUAUUGAAUCCCUUAUAUAGUACUUCCAUGACAGCUGAUCGGUGAUACUACUGCUACUACUACUAUGACCACUCAAUCCCUGGUAAGUACAAUGUCAUUAUCAUCAUUAUUUAGGUUAAGGUCCAUUUAAUUCAAUCUUCCUGAGCGGUUGGACGCUUUAUGGCUCUCCUCCAUUCUACUCUGUCUUCCGCCCAAUGCUUAUACAGUCCUAUCAAUCCCAAGUCUUCCUGUACACACCUUCUCCAUGUUUUCCUAGGUCUACCAACUGGUCUCCUUCCUUCUACCUCCAUUCUACUCUGUCUUCUGCCCAAUGCUCAUCCAAUCCCAUCAGUGCCAAGUCUUCCUGUACACACCUUCUCCAUGUUUUCCUAGGUCUACCAACUGGUCUCCUUCCUUCUACCUCCAAUCUCUCCAACACUCCCAGCACUGUAUCCUCCCCUGCUCUCUUUACAUGUCCAAACCAUCGGAGUCUUUCCCUUCUGAGCACUGUUUCCAGGUCCUCUACUAAAACUCCCAGCACUGUGUCCUCCCCUGCUCUCUUUACAUGUCCAAACCAUCGGAGUCUUUCCCUUCUGAGCACUGUUUCCAGGUCCUCUACUAAAACUCCCAGCACUGUGUCCUCCCCUGCUCUCUUUACAUGUCCAAACCAUCGGAGUCUUUCCCUUCUGAGCACUGUUUCCAGGUCCUCUACUAAAACUCCCAGCACUGUGUCCUCCCCUGCUCUCUUUACAUGUCUCUGCCAAAUAUUUCCCUCUCCCUGCCUCUGUCCCUGCCAAAUCACUCUCUCCAUGCCUGUGUCCCUGCCAUAUCUCUCCCUCCCUGCCAAAUCUAGCCUCUCCUCCUUACCUAACCUACCUUACCCUACCCUAAGCUACCCUAACCUACCUCUCUCUCCACCAGGUUGACAAGCCCGUCCAUGGUGAAGAAGCCUUGUCCUACCUGCGCUGAGGUGACCCAUGUGGGCAACACUACCAUGGACGGAGCAGUGGGGGAGGCGGUGGCUGAGUGGAUAGCAUGAUGGCGCCACAUUCGGGACAACGCGAGUUCAAUCCCCGCCCGGUGCCACCAAGCUGGGAUUUUUCAGCCGCCGCCGAGUGGCUUAAAACUACCCACAUGCUGUCCAGAAGACCACCUAUCAACCCGGACUCUAGAUUCUAGGAUUAAAGAUGAGCUCCGGGAGGGCA